ensembl:lncRNA
GGACUUUUAUUUUGAUUUCACGAUGUGACGUCACAAGGCUGCGCCGCGCUCCUACGUCUGAGAUUCGGCUGAAGAAAAGGUUUGUGUUUUAAGCAACUAAAAUGUUUCAUUCAAUGCAACCCGUUCGGGCAAUUUUGUAGUUUUUACAAACGAUGUAAAAUGAAAUUCAACACUGUAAACCUUUAUCUAACAGUAAUUAUAAAAGGUGCGUCUCUUUCGCUCCCUGUAUCGUGAAUCAGUGUAUCGUAAACACGAGCUCGGCCACUGUAGAGCAGUGGUGAGAGAACCGGGGUUUAGAGUCGAAUAUCCGUAUUGAAUCAAAUGAUUCGGAAAAUGAUUCAGUGAUUCGAAGCGCUCGAUUCACCGCGCUCUGACGUCACACGCCGAUCAAAACAGUGUCAUCGCCAAAUCAUUAAAUUCGAAUUAUAUUAAUCAUUUAAACGCUUUAAUGGCGUUUAUGUAUAAUUUGUGUUCUUUUAUUCAUUUGUACAGCUAGUGUUGAUUGUUUUCGUUGAAUCAGGUGAUUUAAGUCAACUUGACUACUGAACUAGGGAUUUAGUUUGGAUUUAUUUUGCUUUCUUUUUUAAUUAUUCUCAUCUCCAUCUUACUGUUUUAAAGAUGGCGUUCAUUAAAGAGGAGAGUGAAGACAUGCGGAUCGAAGACAAUUUCAAAGUGAAACCAGAAGAUACUGAGGAACAAAUAGAGAUGGUGUUCAUUAAAGAGGAGAGUGAAGACACAAUAAAUGAAGAAUCUUUCAGAGUCAAACAAGAAGAUACUGAGACACAAACAGGACAGGUCUUCACUUCCCUGGAGUUCAGGAGAAACCUGAUGAGAGGGCAGUACGGUACAACCCAGUGUCUACCAAAAGGGGGCCGUCCUGCUUUGGACAAUUCUCUGCGGUUAACAGCGAGGCAUUUCCCUGCUAAAGUCCCACAGACAACCGCCCAGGGCAGCAGGACAAGGCGGCACUGCAGGGUCUGCCUCUCCAGCUCUCGGAAGACAAAGGAGAGGCGUCUCACAAAGUACAUGUGUGUGCCAUGCAACACUCCAUUGUGUGUUACUCCAUGUUUCGAGGAGUACCACACGCUAAAAAAUUACUGAAAAAAAAAAACACUAAUCAAUGUCAGUUCUAAUAAUGCAUUUAAGUAAUUAUAACAAUUCUCAAUAAUUGUUUUACUGGUUUUAGGGAAGUUUGUUUACUUAAUUCCUGGUAAUAUGUGUUGAUAUUGUUUUACUAUGCAUGUAAAUAAUUUGUAAUUUCUCAAACAUUACAGUUUUUUUAGAAUUUUUUUUUUUUGAAUAUCAGUUUUUAUAGUUUUCUGUUCCUUAUGUUAAAGUAGUCGACAUUAAAUGAACAUGGUCAGCAUUUCAUGCAUUGUGCGUUUCUCUUUCCAGUAUUAGAAACUAAACAUAUUAUGUUUGUUAAUAAGAAAGCAAGCAACCCCACAGUGUACAUCUGACAUUGUACAGUCUUUCCCCUUAUGUGGAUGCUUUUGAGCAGCUAAUGGUGAAUAAGUAUAAAAGAAAUAUUAUGUUCAAUACAGCAAACCCCCAACUGUUCCCUGGGUGCCACAGCAAAAAUGGCUGUCCACUGCUCUGGGUGAGUGUUCACGUUUUUUAAAUAGGAAAAAAGAACAACACCUUCCCCAGGUGGUGGGCAUUCUCUGGACCCCCUACAAAUUUGUAAGUACUAUGGUAACAGUUUGGCAAAAUUAGAAGAUGGAGUCAGAGUCCCUUACAAGUGUAAGGAAGACUAUUUAAGAGAAAUGGAAAAAUAAUCUAUAAUUGUAGAUUUUAGUAUUCAAAAUAUUAUCAGCAGUUGCAUUAGUAGUGAGGCGCUAUAGGUUAUUCAAUGUGUCAUAAUGUUUUGUCUUUUGAGUCUAGGGUUGGGCAGGGACAACAUAAAGAAGUGAAAGUGACACAAAGAGUCUGAGAGAUUAGCCCCUUCUCUCUCCACCCCAGUACAUCACAAGGCCACAACAGUAGAACAAUAUGUAUAUUUAAAAGGAAGCAAUUAACUUCAGAAGGGGAUCAACAUAACAAACAAAAAGAGCAAUCUGUCUAGACUUUCUGCAACUAUUCUAUGGUGAAUAAAGAAUUAACUGAAAAAUUGAGUGGUUACUAU